GCUCGUCAUGCUAGAGCACUUUUUCAAUGGGCUCCCCAACGAUAAGGCGACAACGCAUUUGUAUGUCAUCCAUAUCAACUUUCAAUGCCAUUUACUGCGCCUACCAUGGUUACCACGGGUAACAGAGAAUCAGGGUUGGAUUACGGAGAGGGAAUCUGAGAAAUGGCUACCACAUGUAAGGAAGGCAGCAGGCGCGCAAAUGACCCACUCCCGACGCGGGAAAGUA